rnacentral:rRNA from 1 species
UACGAAGGGUGCAAGCGUUGCUCGGAAUUAUUGGGCGUAAAGGGUAGGUAGGUGGUUGCAUAUGUCUGGGGUGAAAUCCCUGAGCUUAACUCAGGACGUGCCUUGGAAACGGUGUAACUAGAGUACUAGAGAGGUUCGUGGAAUUCCUGGUGUAGCGGUGAAAUGCGUAGAGAUCAGGAGGAACAUCAGCGGCGAAGGCGGUCUGCUGGGCCGUUGCUGACGCUGAGGCGCGACAGCGUGGGGAGCAAACAGG